GACGAACCGAGCGAACGUUAUUCGGAAUCACUGGGCGUUAAAGGGCGCGUGAGGCGGGCUGUCAAGUCUGGGGUGAAAUCCCCGGCGGCUCCAACCGCGGAACUGCCUCAGAUACUGACGGCCUCGAGGGAGGUAGGGGCAUGCGGAACUGUAGGUGGAGCGGUGAAAUGCGUUGAUAUCUACAGGAACUCCGGUGGCGAAAGCGGCGUGCUGGACCUCUUCUGACGCUGAGGCGCGGAAAGCUAGGGGAGCAAACGGG
rnacentral:rRNA from 1 species